CCUACGGGCGGCAGCAGUGAGGAAUAUUUGUCAAUGGAGGAAACUCUGAACCAGCCAUGCCGCGUGAAGGAUGACGGCCCUAUGGGUUGUAAACUUCUUUUGAAUAGGAAGAAACUUAUCUACGUGUAGAUAACUGACGGUACUAUUAGAAUAAUGAUCGGCUAACUCCGUGCCAGCAGCCGCGGUAAUACGGAGGAUCCAAGCGUUAUCCGGAUUCAUUGGGUUUAAAGGGUCCGUAGGCGGGUCUUUAAGUCAGUGGUGAAAGCCGACAGCUCAACUGUCGAACUGCCAUUGAUACUGGAGACCUUGAGUACAAAUGAAGUAGGCGGAAUGAGUCAUGUAGCGGUGAAAUGCAUAGAUAUGACUCAGAACACCGAUUGCGAAGGCAGCUUACUAACAUGUAACUGACGCUGAGGGACGAAAGCGUGGGGAGCGAACAG
rnacentral:rRNA from 1 species